UACGAAGGGUGCAAACGUUGCUCGGAAUCAUUGGGCGUAAAGCGCACGUAGGCGGCCUUGCAAGUCGGAUGUGAAAUACCCACGGCUCAACCGUGGACGUGCAUCCGAAACUGCUCGGCUCGAGUAUGGAGGAGGGUCGCGGAAUUCCCGGUGUAGAGGUGAAAUUCGUAGAUAUCGGGAGGAACACCAGUGGCGAAGGCGGCGACCUGGGCCAAUACUGACGCUGAGGUGGCGAAAGCGUGGGGAGCAAACAGGGAUUAAGAA
rnacentral:rRNA from 1 species